UCCAAAUCUCUAGUAAAUAACGUCAAACUUUAUAUACAACCUACUUAGACUAUUUCUAGUAAGUUCAAAUAAUACCCACUCCAAAUUUUUUACAAAAUCAUAUUCGAAAUUUAACAAGAUUAGCAUUAAAAGAGAUGAAAUUUUAGGUUUCUCGCGUCUGUUUUUGCGUUUUGUAGUUGUGAUAGGUAUGUAUAAACUUGAGAAAAAAAGAGAAUAAAAACUCACGAAUAUUUCACGCCUGAAGAUAUACAAAAUUUAAAAAAUGAAAAAAAAAUAAUUCCGAGAAGUAUUGAUUAUGGGAGAAGGCACGAAUGAGUGUUGACUGAGUGUCUCGAUCAAUGGUUACACUAAAAAUGGGGAACUAAAUUCCGUUUUCAUUUUUGUUUGCAUAUGAUUCUUAUUACCCGAGGGUGAUAGCCCUCAGUAUUCGAGGUCGAUUGUCGAGAGGGCUCGGAUACUGUUGAUGUGACUAUCGGUUCCGGUUCAUAACUGAUCUUUGAUCUUAAGUUAGCACGAUCCACUAUUGCCUCAUUAAAAACCUUGCCGGAAAAUCCAUUUGGGACAAAACCGGUUCAAGGGAAAAAGAGUGCAACGCGUGCUUUCAUUCCCAAUGGCUCCACCAUUCUUUGGUUAUUUCCUGCAAGUGUUAGUCCAAUUCGCAAUAUAUAUAUAUAAAACAAAAUUGGGGUCGUACCUUAGCAGUAGUAUCGUUUUAAGUAGGUCGCGUUCCUGUUGUUUGGAAGCUGCUCACUGUUCCCUGCUUUGGGUUUGUAUGAACAUUUACCGGUAAUCUCGAUAAUUUGAUAUGGACCUUCCUAGUUCGGUCCCAGCUUUCCUUCGUUCGGGUUCAGGGUGUUCAGUGUCACUUUUCUUAACACCAAGUCCCCGAUAUUGAAGUGUCGGAGGUUGGCUCUCCGGUUGUAAUACCUUUCGAUCCAUUAUUUUUGGGCGGCCAACCGAACGAGGGCGGCCUCGCUCCUCUCGUCCAAUAGUUCCAGGCUCGUGCUCAUGGCCUCACCGUUUAACUCUUCAGUCAUAUAUCGGAACCUAAAACUUGGUUCUCCUACCUCGACCGGUAUUAGUGCUUCGGCAUCAUAGACCAACGAGAAUGGGGUGGCUCGGGUACUAGAUUUUGAGGUCGUACGGUAUGCCCACAGGACUUCGGGCAAAAUUUCCUUCCAUUUUCGUUUGGCGUCGGUCGGUCUCUUCUUAAGGUUUUGGAGUAUGGUCUUGUUUCUAGAUUCCGCCUACCCAUUCCCACUAGGGUGGUAGGGUGUUGAAAAGAUCCUCUUGAUUUUAUGGUCUUCGAAAAAUUUGUUCACCUUACUACCGAUGAACUACUUCCCAUUGUCAUAUACGAUCUCGGCCGGCAUUCCGAACAGACAUAUUAUGUGGUCCCAAAUAAAAUCAAUAACUUCUUUCUCCCUGACUUUCUCAAAUGCCUCAGCUUUAACCCAUUUAGAAAAAUAGUUAGUCAUAAAUAAUAUAAAUUGAGCCUUACCGAGUGCCCAUGGCAGGGGACCAACGAUGUCCAUCCCCCAUUUCAUGAAUGACCAAGGUGACAAGACCGAAUGCAGUAGCUACCCGGGCUGGUGGAUCAUCGGUGUGUGCCUCUGACAGCCGUCGCAUCUCCGUACGAACCCCUUAGCAUCUUUCUCCAUAUCGAUCCAGUAAUAGCCGGCUCUCAUUUUUUAAGAACCAACGAUUCAGCCCCUGAGUGGUUUCCGCAGGUGCCUUUGUGAACUUCCAUCAAAACGUAUUCGGUGUCUCCCGGCCCCAGAUAUACGGCGAGUGGGCCAUCGAAUGUUCUUCUGAAUAGGGUGUUAUCUGCGGACAGGCUGAACCUGGCCGCCUUCUUGCACAAAGCUCUUGAUUCUUUAGGAUCCGAGGGUAGCUUCCCGGUCUUCAGGUAAUCUAUAUACUUGUUUCUCCAAUCCCAGGUUAAGCUUGUCGAGUUUAUCUCGACGUGGCCUUCUUCCACUACCGAUUUCAUGAGUUGUACGACUGUUCCCGAGUUGAAUUCAUCGUCAUCAACAGACGACCCCAAGUUAGCUAGAGCAUCGGCUUCACUAUUUUGAUCAUGGGGUACGUGUUGCAGGGUCCACUCCUUGAAUUGAUAUAGCGUUACCUUUAGUUUAUCCGGGUAUCUUCGCAUUCGUUCCUCUUUCACUUCGAACGUCCCAUUGACUUGAUUCACCACAAGGAGGGAAUCGCAUUUAGCUUUGAUCAUUUUGACCCCCGGGCUUUUAGCCAAUUCGAGACCUGCAAUCAUGGCCUCAUACUCGGCCUCAUUGUUAGUCAAUUUCAUAGUUCUAAUAGAUUGUCUAACUACGUUACCCGUGGUUGGAUUUAACAUGAUGCCAAGAUCAGACCCUUUUGCAUUCGAGGCACCAUCCGUAAAGAGGGUCCAGAUCCCCGAGGAAGUCUCCGAGUCCAACAGCAAUCCCCUUUCGAUUUUGGGUAUUAGGGUCGGCGUGAAGUCAGCCACGAAGUCUACCAAAAUUUGUGAUUUAAUGGCGGUUCGGGGUCGAUAUUCGAUAUGGUACCCGCUAAUUUCCAUGUCCCAUUUGGCCAAUCAUCCCGAGAGAUCGGGUUUAUGCAUUAUGUUUCUUAAUGGGUAAGUAGUUACGACACAUAUAGAAUGGCAUUAAAAUACGGCUUUAAGUUCUGGGAGGCGCUUAGCAAAGCGAGCAUCAAUUUCUCCAGGUGAGGACACCUAGUUUCGGCCUCGCCUAGAGUCCUACUAACAUAAUAGAUUAGAAAUUACGUACAUUCCUCUUCCCGGACUAGGACUCCACUUACCACUAUCUCGGAUGCCUCUAAGUACAGGUACAACUACUCGUUUGCCUUUGGAGUAUGAAGCAAAGGCGGGCUCGAAAGGUACCGCUUGAGUUCCUCCAAAGCUUAUUGGCACUCCGAGGUCCACGAGAAGUUAUUCUUCUUCUUUAAUAGCGAGAAGAACCGAUGGAUCUUAUCAGAGGACCUUGAAAUGAACCGUCCCAAGGCGACUAUGUGCCCGGUUAACCUUUGAACGACCUUGACAUUGUCCGCGACGGUGAUGCCUUCUAUGGCCUUGAUCUAGUCAGGAUUGAUCUCGAUUGCUCAAUUGGACACCAUAAAUUCGAGAAACUUUUCGGAUCUGACCCCGAAUGCGUAUUUCUCCGGGUUCGGCUUCAUAUUUUAUUUCUUCAGUAUCUUGAAGGUUUCCUGCAAAUGUUCCAAAUGGUCCUCUACUCGCAGGGACUUUACUAACAUGUCAUCAAUGUAAACCUCUAUCGAUUUUCCUAUUUGUUCUUCGAACAUCUGGUUUACUAGGCGUUGGUAAGUGGCAUCGACAUUCUUUAAUCCGAACGUCAUUACAUUAUAAUAAUAGGUGUCAUAUUUAAUGAUGAAGGAUGUUUUUCCUGAUCGCCCGGGUCCAUCCGGAUUUAGUUGUACCCAGAAUAGGCAUCAAGAAAGCUGAGGAUCUCGUGGCCGGCCGUCGCAUCGAUCAUGCGAUCAAUGUUGGGCCGAGGAAAAGAGUCCUUGGGUCAUGCCUUGUUCAGGUCUUUGUAGUCUACACACAUUCUUAAUUUAUUUCCCUUUGUAGGGACUACUACUACGUUUGCUAACCAAUAUGGGUACUUAACUUCCCAAAUAGAACCUAUUUUAAGGAGUUUAGAUACCUCAUCUUUGAUGAAUGCAUGCUUGACUUCGGACUGAGGCCUCUUCUUCUGCUUAACCGGGUGAAACUUCAGAUCCAAGCUCAGCUUAUGAGUAGUUAUUUCUGGCGGGAUCCCUGCCAUGUCAAGAUGGGACCAAGCGAAACAAUCAAUGUUAGCUAUAAGGAAUUCAAUGAGUUUUUUUUUUUGAGCUCGGGACUUAACCUCGUGCCCAGGAAUACCUUCCAAUCGGGCAGGUACUCGAUCAAUAUGACUUGCUCCAGCUCCUCAACCGUUGACUUGGUGGCAUCAGAAUUGUCAGGGGCUAUGAAAGACCUGAUAACUCCGUAGUCGUCAUCCUCGCCCGUCCCCUACUUUUCUGGUUCUGUCGGGGCCGGUGUCGGUGAUUGCUAUUUGAUUACUUCCUUGGUGGCCGAACUCGGGUUCUUUGAUGUCAAGAGUGCGGAUAUCGGGAUCACCUCAUCAACCGCGAACAUUUCUUUUGCGGUUGGUUGCUCUCCAUAAACUGUUUUAGAUCCUCCUGGUGUGGGGAAUUUCAACACCAGGUGCAAUGUCAAAGGUACUGCCUCAUGUUGUGAAUCCAUGGCCUCCCGAACAGAGCAUUGUAUCUCAUAUCUCCUUCGAUUACGUAGAACAUUAUUUCCUGAAUGGUUCUGGCGGUGUUUACCAGCAGGGUUAUCUCCCCUUUAGUGGUCUCAUAUGGCAUGUUAAACCCGUUUAAAACUUAGACGAAAGGCACAAUUUGGUCUGACCCAGUCGUUCCACGACCCUCGAUCUGAUGAUAUUGGCCGAGCUACCUGGAUCAAUUAGCACACACUUAACUCGAGAUUUGUUUAUGAGUACAGAUAUUACCAGUGCAUCAUUGUGUGGCUGCACGAUGCCUUCAGCAUCUUCAUCGUUGAAAGACUCGAUUCCCUCUGGUACGUAAUCUCGAGUCCAUUUUUCUCUUGUAAUGGACACUUUAGUGCACUUUAACAUCGGCCCCUGGGGAUGUCAACCCCACAAAUGAUCAUGUUAAUGACUUGCUGAGGUUCCUGUCACGACCCAAAUUUCCCUCCGUAGAAUGUCGUGAUGGGACCUAGUCUUAAGCACUAGGUAAGCCUAACACUUACUGAAUUAGUGGUAACUCAGCCAACAAUUAUUAAAUAUGAAAUAGAAAUUUUCUACAAUCCCAAAAUCGGUAAUACAAGUCACAAGCUCUACAGAGUUUACUAGAAAAAUCUCUAAAUAUAAAUGUUCCAGAAUAGAAUCAACAGUGCAUGAAAAAUAUCAGAAGGUGACUUUGGGCCUACAAACGCGACAUCAGGUAUACCUUAAGUCUCCACAAUAAUGUCCAAUCAAUUAGCCAGAUUAUCAACAACACUGAGGUACCUGGAUCUGCACAAAAAUAUGCAGAAGAGUAGUAUGAGUACACCACAGCGGUACCCAGUAAGUAUCGAACCUAACCUCGGUAGAAUAGUGAUAAGGCCAGGUCAAGACACCUACCGGACAUAUAAACCUGUACAAAAUACUACAUAAAUCCAACAAGGAAGGAAUAUCAAUGUAAGUCCAUUAACCGAAGAAUUUCCAAUUCAAAUCAAUAAUAAGAACAUGGAAUAACAACGAGAAAACAAUCAAGUAAUUACGCAACAACAUUGUCAGAGUACAAAUGACAUAUGAGUAGGUUCAAGUAAGGAAUCUGAUGACAAAUCAAUCAAUUAAAUUAUUUAUGAUGCACGUAAUUCAACAUAAAUUACCCGAGGUAUCACUUCUCGAAAUCUCAAUUCACGAUUCACAACUUUCAAAUUCUUACACAUGUGGCAUCUUGUGCCCACAUCUCCCAAAUUACUUUUUGCACCGCAAAAUCCUCGUGCUACCAUGUGUAUAAUUUUCAUAUCAAUAUCAACCAAGAUGACCAAUGAAUAAUUUAAACAUAAUUAAAUACAAUUUCUAAAUUAAAUGCAAUGAAACAUCAAAUGAAUCAUUAAACCAAUUUAGGAUUUAAAUAAGGUAAAAUAGUGGAGAGGUUGUACAAAUAGAAUAUCAAUUGAGUUUAGUUUAGAAGUAUAUGAGAUCCGAUAAAAUAUUAUAUUUAUACAAAAUAAGACAUUCAAUCAAGUUUUAAUGAAAUAAAUAUGGAAUUUAUUAAAGUAAAAUGAAAUAACAAAUUUUCACACAAUUUACACAACAAUAAGAUAAUGAGAGGGUUGAGACGUCAAUUACAUGAAAAAUAUAGUCACCAUUUAAAUUAGUAGACCUUCGAAUGAGGUAUGAGUUUUAUUUUUGAAAGACACACAAGUAGAACACCUUGAAAAUUCUUUCAUUUAUAUCUGCUAAAUUUUUCAGGAACUUAACGUAUCACAUAAAAUGCAUGACUCACAUAAGAAGUCCAUAUUAUUCUAUUUUUAAUAUAUUGACGGUUAAAUAAAUUAUAAUCAAAUACAAUGAGGUGAUUUAAGAAACCACAAUAACCGUCCUUACAUGAAAUGCAUCAUGAGAAUCACAAUCGAAUUAACCUUAAUACCACAAUAGUUUCAUAUUUGUUUAUUCGUUGCGGCGUGCAACCCGAUCUAACAAUAUAAUCUUGCAAAUAAAUUCUGUUACGGCGUGCAACCUGCUCCAACAAUAUAAUCUUUCAAAUAAAUUACGUUGCGGCGUGUAACCCGCUCCAACAAUAUAAUCCUUCAAAUAAAUUCUGUUGUGGCAUGCAACCCGCUCCAACAAUAUAAUCUUUCAAAUAAAUUCCGCAGCGGCGUGCAACUCGCUCCAAUAUCAACACAAAGUAAGCAACCAAUUUACAACCAACUACGGUAUACCACAAAGUAAAAAGGAAUAACGAGGCUACACAAAGAAGUCACAACCAAUGAAAAAGGCUACACGAUAGUUCACGAAAUAAAAUAGCAAGGAAGUGACAAUCCACAAGCCAAGGCACAAUUUAUGAGCAUCAACUGACAAUUAAGGCAUGUAUCAGGUAAAGCAUGAAUUCAACGAGUGGUUACAAUCAACAAUUGGCAUAUAAAGUGUUAUCGACAACAAAGAUGGAACAUGUGCUAACAAUUUCAAGUAAAGCACGUACAAACAACUAGAACACAAAAGAUGCAGUCAUGAAACAAUAGUUACAAUUAGUCACAUGAAGGGAGCCUAACAAACUAAAUCGGUCAAAUACCACAUAUAGGUUGUGUACCCACUCGUCACCUUGCGUACACGACCAUCCCAUAACACGAAUAACACAAUCAUCCCUAUUCCUAAGGGGUGGUUUCCCCCACACAAAGUUAGACAAGACACUUACCUUAACGAAGUAAGGCCGAUAUUCCAAAAUAGCCUUCUAGAUUGCAUUGAUCUCCAAACAGCUCAAAUCUAUCUAAAUUAAUUGUAUAACUUCAUUAAAAUUCAUCGAAAAUAAUUCUGGAUAAUAAAACGUUGAUUUAAAAAUUCACAUUAAAAAGUCAACCAAAGACAAUAGGAGGCUCGCCUAUUAGAACCCGAUAGAAUUUUCACGAAAUCCGAACACCCAUUCCGAUACGAGUUCAACCAUUCCAAUUUUACCAAAUUUCGAUAACGAAUCGACCUCCAAAUCUAAAAUUUUCGUUUUUGAAAGAUUUUGCAAAAAUCUCAAUUUCUUCCAUCAAAACUCGAAUUAAACGAUUAAUAUAACCAUAGAUUCAUGAAAUAUAAUCACUAGGGAGUCAAGAACACUUACCCCAAGUUGUGUGGUGAAAUUUGCCUUUGCAAAUCGCCCAAACCGAGCUCCCCAAGUCUAUUUUUGUCAAAAAUGGCAGAAAACCCCCGUUUAUAGAGCCUAUGAUGUUUGUAGCGCCACAGGUGGCGUGGGGCGCUGCCUGUGGCGCCGUUUCCAGAACUCCAAAAAUCCCAGCGCCAGGCAUAGUGCCCCACGCUACCCUGGACGCUGACGACGACGGAAAAUAUUUUCCGACACGGAAAUGGGCAUAACUCUGUCAUACGAUGUCCGAAUUUGACGAUUCUUUUUGCUAUGGCUCCAAAAUUUCAAUACGGAUCUAAUGCUUCAAUCAAAACUGAAUUUGGAGCUCAUUUUCUUGAUGUGUUACCACUUAUUCUUGAAGAAACGACGUCGAAACAUCCUAGAAAUAUCCAACCUCUACAUUCGAUGCCGAAACCUAUAAAAUCAAGUCCGAUUGACUUCAAAUUUUUGCACACAAGUCAUAAAUGACAUAAUGGACCUGUUCCAAUUUAUAGAAUCAAAUUUUGACCCCGAUAUCAAUAAAGUCAAUUCCCGGUCAAACUUUCUAAAAAUCUUCCAUUUUUCCAUCUUUCGCCAAAAUGCGUCAAAUUGCCCUACGGACUUUCAAAUCCACAUCCGAACAUACGCCUAAGUCCAAAAUUACCAUACAAAGCUAUUGAAAUCAUCAAAACUCCAUUCCGGAGUCAUUUGCACAAAAGUCGACUCUCCGGUCAACUCUUUUCUUUUAAGCUUCUUAAAUAAGAAUUGUUCUCCCAAUUUGAUCCCGGAUCGUCCGAAAACCAAACUCAACCACACACGCAAGUCAUAAUAUGUAUUACGAGGUUGAUCGAGAUCUUAAGCCACUGAACGGGACGCUAAUUCUAAAAAGCGACAAGUUGGGUCGUUACAUCCUCCACCUCUUAAACAAACGUUUGUCCUCGAACGUGCUAAGAAUUAUUUUGAUGUUAUCAAAUUGUUGAUUUCACUCUUACACAUACACUCGCGGGUGAUACCACAUCACCGCAACCAAUAUAGGUUCGACAACACCAUCUCAAUUGAGAUUAAUUUUCCUAUCCGCACUUAUAAACCGUAAAAGCAAUUUUCUUACACUCCAAUGAUUUUCAAAAGGGUCCGAUUUUCAUAUCAACACACGGUAUUAGUCUCAGCCGACUGUAACACACGUGCCUACGCUCGCAUGGCACAACCACAUAACGUAUCGCAACAUGCAUACGCCCAUAACUACAUCUCUGGUCAUAAUAGUUGUUCAUAACCAAUUACAGCAUCGUCGUUUAACUUCAUGUUAACAUAAAUCUCGUUUCAAACCUUCACAAUACUGACACCAAGACACGAGGCAUGAAGGCCUCAUAAUUAUUAGCCUUAAUUAAUGAGUGACAUUUAACGCCACCUGGGCACCCACCUCAUAGGAUAAAACUCAAUAAUUACAACACGAAUAUGGCAAAUUAUGCAGAGAUAAAUUCAUACAAGAAUUGUUAAAUAAACCUAACAUGCAUGACUCCCUAUUAAUACUAUAGUACAAAUUUAAUUUCACGAGGGAGAAUUUAAACACAUAAAGUUUCAUCACAAGGAUCUCAUCCUUAUAUAACUUCCACCGUGGCUUGUAGCCUGAUUUAAACAUAAUAAAUCAUAUUAAAAUGCGAGGAUCUUGUCCUCAGUUCUUAAUCACCAAUAAUAUUCGAAUCAUGCCAAUCAAAAUCUUUCCAUUUUCUUCUUUAAAAAUAAUUUAUGUUAAACAGAAUCACAACACAUAAUGAACCCCCAUACUGGUAGGGCAUAUAAUUCAUAAAAUUGUAAUCAAUUAUCCCGAAAUUACAUCAAAACACACUGUAGUGAGUAACAGGAAGUCACUUUUGGACUCAUAGCCCUCAAUAGUGUACAAAACAAAAAUGAUAGACACGGGCUAACACCAUCAAAUCUCCCAACAGGGACAAACACGGGAGUAGAGUACAAAUUCACAAACUCACCAUAUAAGGAGCACUAAAGAAGAUCUCACCUCGAUAAUCGGAAUCAAAUCAAAAUAAGAAUAGUGCUCCUGUAUUAUGAAUUAAAUCAUACCUAUAACGACACUAUCUAGUGUAAUGGCCUCAGCCAAUUCAUAGCAAUUAUAUCAACGGGCCGGGCCUCCACCUCUAGGACGCCUUCUAUCCGCAUGUCCUUUACCCCUAACUGAAUAUGUAGGUAGAGUACCAACUGAAAUGGAGCUCGUUGCUUGAGUGCUCUGAUGUAAUAUGUCUCUCCUAAGUCUGCGACAAUCUCUCAUGAUGUGCCUAAUAUCAUCACACUCAUAACAACCUAUCUGCGGUUUUGGCUGCUCAUACUGAGUCUGUGCCAGAUAACUCGAAUAACCAUUAUAGGAAUCUCGUGUCGGUAGUGCAGUAAAAGAACUUAAUGGUGCACCCUGAGUAAUCUGAUGCGCGGACUGAGCUGACCGACUGCUCCGGUCUCUGCCAUAAUGAGUUUUAGCUGUAGAGUAGCAUCCACUGAAUUCUCCAGAACCUCGAGACCUCUUGGUCUCCUUAGUUCCCUUUUUCCUCAACUCAAACAUGUUCUAACAUCUUGGCAAUUUCCACCACUUGCUGAAGUGAAGUAUCAGCUUGUAGCCCCCGAGUUAUACAGAAUCUAAGAUCAUAAUUGAGUCCUUUAAUGAAUCUGUGGACUCGUGCUCUGACUGUAGGAACCAAAGUAAGAGUAUGGCGGGCUAACUCUUUGAACCUGAUGGCUGAUAGCGUCAUGGUGAUCUGACGCAACCGUUCAAACUAUGUGCGCCACGUAUUCCAUAGAGUCUAGGGAACAAACUCCCUCAAAAACAUCUCUGAAAAUUGAGCCCAAGUAGAAGGUGUUGCAUUGGCUGGUCUGCCCUCUUCAUAGACUUGUCAUAAAUACCGGUGGAGAAUUAUCUCUCCAAAGGUCAAUUUCUUCCUUUUCUAUACUGACCCAACACCGUCAAGUUGACCCAUUUCUUCAUAUAUUCCUCGAUUCUUCCUUGGGGUAAUACCUCCCCCUAUUUGUACAUAACGAUCCCCAAAAGUAAAGCUCCGUACACACAAAUCUUGGCACGAACCACGUAGCCCAUAAGCUCAUCAACCACCGUACUUCCUCUGAAGCACUCCAUACUGCCGCAACCAAAACGUCCACGUUGAAUAGACCUUCUACAAAUCGGAAGUUGUUUCUCUAACUCUUUUGGUACUGAAGUAUACGAUUAUUAAGGAUGCAGUCAUACCGCGAGUCCCAGCAUUGUCACCUGCAAAAUCUCAAGCCUUAAACAAGUGCAAAUUUUUGGGGAACCUUUCAGUACCAUAUAUGUACAUCUCAGGCCAGAACUGAUUUAACACAUGACCCCGCAAUAUGUUCAUCUAUAGUAGACUCCAUCACUUGGCGUGCAGCCAUAGGCCACACCGUCCGAUGAUCCACAAUACUAACAUUUACAACUCGUACUCAUCAACUAGAUGCUAGAAUCCGCUGCACCCCCACGUAAAUCAAUGAGUGAUCCUUCAAUACAUCUGUAUCUUUAGUCGGGACCACACGUUGAGAUGAUGUUUGAGCAUCCCUGGCUCCCUCGUAGUCUAUCUGCGACAUCACGAACCGUCGGCGCACAACUGAUACCGAGUGCGCAAUGUCAUACACGAGUGGAUGUGAAUGAAUAUAGAUAUAUGCUUCAAGCUGAAUGAAUAUCGCACGAUAAGGAGUAAAAGAAGUAGAAUUUCCUAAUAGUUUUCGUAGCCUCUCGAAGAUAAGUACAGACAUCUCUGUACCGAUCCGCAAGACUCUACUAAACAUGCUUAUGACUUGUAGCACCCAUGAACCUAGAGCUUUGAUACCAACUUGUCACGACUCAAAUUUCUCUCCGUAAGAUGUCGUAAUGGCACCUAGUCUUAUGAACUAGGUAAGCCUAACACUUACUGAAUUAGUGGUAACUCGACCAACAAUUAUUAAAUAUGAAAUAGAAAUUAUCUACAAUCCCAAAAUCGGAAGUACAAGUCACAAGCUCUACAGAGUUUACUAGAAAAAUCUCUAAGUACAACUGUUCCAAAAUAGAAUCAACAGUGCAGGAAAAAUAUCAGAAUGUGACUUUGGGCCUGCGAACGCGACAGCAGGUAUACCUUAAGUCUCCAUAACAAUGUCCAAUCAAUUAGCCAGAUUAUCAACAACACUGAGGUACCUGGAUCAGCACAAAAAUAUGCAGAAGAGUAGUAUGAGUACACCACAGCGGUGCCCAGUAAGUAUCAAGCCUAAUAUCAGUAGAGUAGUGACUUGGCCAGGUCAAGACACCUACCGGACAUAUAAACUUGUACAAAAUACUACAUAAAGCUAACAAGGAAGGAAUAUCAAUGUAAGACCAUUAACCGAAGAAUUUCCAAUUCAAAUCAACAAUGAGAAUACGGAAUAACAACGAGAAAACAAUCAAGUAAGUACGCAAUAACAUAGUCAGAGUACACAUGACAUAUGAGUUAGUUCAAGUAAGGAAUCUUAUGACAAAUCAAUCAAUUAAAUUAUUUAUGAUGCAUGUAAUUCAACAUAUAUUACCCGAGGUAUCACUUCUCAAAAUCUCAAUUCAUGAUUCACAACUUUCAAAUUCUUACACAGGUGGCAUCUUGUGCCCACAUCUCCCAAAUCACUUUUUGCACGACAAAUCCUCAUGCUACCAUCUGUAUAAUUUCCGUAUCAAUAUCAACCAAGAUGACAAAUGAAUAAUUUAAACACAAUUAAAUAUAAUUUCCAAAUUAAAUGCAGUGAAACAUCAAAUGAGUCAUUAAAUCAAUUUAAGAUUUAAAUAAGGUAAAAUAGUGGAGAGAUUGUACAAAUAGAAUAUCAAUUGAGUUUAGUUUAGAAGUAUAUGAGAUCCGAUAAAAUGUUAUAUUUAUACAAAAUAAAACAUUCAAUCAAGUUUUAACGAAAUAAGUAUGAGAUUUAUUAAAAUAAAAUGAAAUAACAAUUUUCACGCAAUUUACACGACAAUAAGAUAAUGAGAGGGUUGAGACAUCAAUUAGAUGAAAAAUAUAGUCACCAUUUAAAUUAGUAGACCUUCGAAUGAGGUAUGAGUUUUAUUUUUGAAAGACACACAAGUGGAACAGAUUGAAAAUUCUUUCAUUUAUAUCUGCUAAAUUUUUCAGCAACUUAACGUAUCACAUAAAAUGCAUGACUCACAUAAGAAGUCAAAAUUAUUCCAUUUUUAAUAUAUUGACAGAUAAAUAAAUUAUAAUCAAAUAUAGUGAGGUAAUUUAAGAAACCACAAUAAGCGUCCUAACAUGAAAUGCAUCAUGAGAAUCACAAUCGGAAUUAACCUUAAUACCACAAUAGUUUCAUAUUUGUUCAUUCGUUGCGGCGUGCAACCCGAUCCAACAAUAUAAUUUUUCAAAUAAAUUUUGUUACGGCGUGCAACCAGUUCCAACAAUAUAAUCUUUCAAAUAAAUUACGUUGUGGCGUGCAAUCCACUCCAACAAUAUAAUCCUUCAAAUAAAUUUNNNNNNNNNNNNNNNNNNNNNNNNNACACCGGCCUUCACAUAACACGAAUAACACAAUCAUCCCAUAUUCCUAAGGGGUGGUUUCCCUCCCCCCCCCCCCCCCAUAAAGUUAGACAAGACACUUAUCUUAACGAAAUUAGGCCGAUAUUUCAAAAUAGCCUUCUAGCUUAAAUUUAUCUCCAAACAGCUCAAAUCUAUCCAAAUUAAUUGUAUAACUUUAUUAAAAUUCAUCGGAAACAAUUUCGGAUAAUAAAAUAUCGACUUAAAAUUUCACAUUAAAAAGUCAACCAAAGUCAACGCAAGGCCCGCCUCUCGGAACCCGAUAGAAUUUUUAUGAAAUUCAAACAUUCAUUCCGAUACGAGUUCAACAUACCAAUUUUACCAAAUUCCGAUAACGAAUCGACCUCCAAAUCUAAAAAUUUUAUUUUUGAUAGAUUUUGCAAAAAUCUCAAUUUCUUCAAUCAAAACUCGAAUUAAACAAUAAAUAUAACCAUAGAUUCAUGAAAUAUAAUCACAAGGGAGUCAAGAACACUUACCCCAAGUUUUGUGAUGAAAUUUGCCUCUGAAAAUCGCCCAAACCGAGUUCCCCAAGUCUAUUUUUGUCAAAAAUGGCAGAAAACCCCCGUUUAUAGAACCCCUGAAGUUUGUAUCACCACAGGUGGCGUGGGGCGCUGCCUGUGGCGCCGUUUCCAUAAAUCCUAAAAUCCCAGUGCCAGGGAUAGCACCCCACGCUACCCUGGACGCUGACGACGACGGAAAAUAUUUUCCGACAAGGAAAUGGGCAUAACUCUCUCAUACGAUGUCCGAAUUUGACGAUUCUUUUUGCUAUGGCUCCGAAAUUUCAAUACAAAUCUAAUGCUUCAAUCAAAAUUGAAUUUUGGAGCUCAUUUACUUAAUUUGAUACCACUUAUUCUUGAAGAAACGACGUCAAAACAUCCUAGAAAUAUCCAACCUCUACAUUCGAUAUCGAAGCCUAUCAAAUCAAGUCCGAUUGACUUCAAAUUUUUGCACACAAGUCAUAAAAUACAUAGUGGACCUAUUCCAAUUUCCUAAAUCGAAUUUCGACCCCGAUAUCAAUAAAGUCAAUUCCCGGUCAAACUUUCUAAAAAUCUUCCAUUUUUCCAACAUUCGCCAAAAUGCGUCAAAUUGUCGUACGGACUUCCAAAUUCACAUCUGGACAUACGCCUAAGUCCGAAAUCGCCAUACGAAUCUAUUAGAAUUAUCAAAACUCCAUUCCGAAGUCAUUUGCACAAAAGUCGACUCUCCGGUCAACUCUUUUCUUUUAAGCUUCUUAAAUAAGAAUUGUUCUCCCAAUUUGAUCCCGAAUCGGCCGAAAACCAAACUCAACCACACACGUAAGUCAUAAUAUGUAUUACGAGGUUGCUCGAGAUCUUAAGCCGUUGAACGAGAUGCUAAUUCUCAAAACGACAAGUCGGGUCGUUACAUCCUCCACCUCUUAAACAAACGUUCAUCCUCGAACGUGCUAAGAAUUAUUAUGAGGUUAUCAAAUUGUUGAUUUCACUCUUACACAUACACUCGCGGGGUGAUACCACAUCACCGCAACCAACAUAGGUUCGACAACACCAUCUCAAUUGAGAUUAAUUUUUCUAUCCGCACUUAUAAACCUUAAAACCAACUUUCUUACACUCCAAUCAUUUUCAAAAGGGUCCGAUUUUCAUAUCAACACACGGUAUUAGUCUCAGGCGACUGUAACAACCCGUGCCUACGCUCGCAAGGCACAACCACAUAACGUGUCGCAACAUGCAUACGCCCAUAACCACAUCUCUGGUCAUAAUAGUUGUUCAUAACCAAUUACAGCAUCGUUGUUUAACUUCAUGUUAACAUAAAUCUCGUUUCAAACCUUCACAAUACUGACAACGAGACACGGGGCAUUAAGGCCUCAUAAUUAUUUACCUAAAUUAAUGAGUCACAUUUAACGCCACCUGGGUACCCACCUCAUAGGAUAAAACUCAAUAAUUACAACACGAAUAUGGCAAAUUAUGCACAGAUAAAUUCAUACAAGAAUUUUCAAAUAAACCUAACAAGCAUGAUUCCCUAUUAGUAUUAUAGUACAAAUUUAAUUUCACAAGGGAGAAUUUAAACACAUAAAGUUUUAUCACAAGGAUCUCGUCCUUUUAUAACUUCCAUCGUGGCUUGUAUCCCAGUUUAAACAUAAUAAAUCAUAUUAAAAUGUGAGGAUCUCGUCCUCAGUUCUGAAUCACCAGUAAUAUGCACAUUGUGCCAAUCAAAAUCUUUCCAUUUUCUUCUUUAAAAAUAAUUUAUGUUAAAUAGAAUCACAACAUAUAAUGAACCCCCAUACUGGUAGGGCAUAUAAUUCAUAAAAUUAUAAUCAAUUAUCCCGAAAUUACAUCAAAACCCACUGUAGUGAGUAACAGGAAGUCACUUUUGGACUCAUAGCCCUCAAUAGUGUACAAAACAAAAAUGAUAGACACGGGCUAACACCAUCAAAUCUCCCAACAAGGAUAAACACGAGAGUAGAGUACAAAUUCACAAACUCACCAUAUAAGGAGCACUAAAGGAGAUCUCACCUCGAUAACCGGAAUCAAAUCAAAAUAAGAAUAGUGCUCCUGUAUUAUGAAUUAAAUCAUACCUAUAAUGACACCAUCUAGUGUAAUGGCCUCAGCCAAUUCAUAGCAAUUAUAUCAACGGGUCGGGCCUCCACCUCUAGGACACCUUAUAUCUGCAUGUCCUUCACCCCUAACUGAAUAUGUAGGUAAAAUACCAAAUAAAAUGGAGCUCGUUGCUUGAGUGCUCUAAUGUAAUAUAUAUAUCUCCCAAGUCUGGGACAAUCUCUCAUGAUGUGCCUAGUAUCAUCACAUUCAUAACAACCCAUCUGCGGUUUCGGCUGCUUAUACUGAGUCUGUGCCUGAUAACUCGAAUAACCAUUAUAGGAAUCUCGUGUUGGUGGUGCAGUAAAAGAACUUACUGGAGUACCUCGAGUAAUCUGAUGUGCGGACUGAGCUGACAGACUGCUCCAGUCUCCACCAUAAUGAGUUAUAGCUACAGAGUAGCAUCCACUGAAUUCUCCAGAACCUUGAGACCUCUUAGUCUCCUUAGUUCCCUUUUUCCUCAACUCAAACACGUUCUAACAUCUUGGCAAUUUUCACCACUUGUUGAAGUGAUGUAUCAGCUUGUAGCCCCCGAGCCAUACACAAUCUAAGAUCAUAACUGAGUCCUUUAAUAAAUUUGUGGACUCGCUCUAUGGCUGUAGGAACCAAAGUAAGUGUAUGACGGGCUAACUCUUUGAAGCUGAUGGCAUAUUCUGACACCGUCAUGGUGUUCUGACGCAAUAGUUCAAACUCGAUGUGCCACGCAUUCCGUAGAGUCUAGGGAACAAACUCCCUCAAAAACAUCUCUAAAAAUUGAGCCCAAGUAGGUGGUGUUUCAUUGGCUGGUCUGCCCUCUUCAGAGACUUGCCACAAACACCGGUGGAGAAUUAUCUCUCCAAAGGUCAAUUUCUUCCUUUGCUAUGCUAACCCAACACCGCUGAGUUAACCCAUUUCUUCACAUAUUCCUCGAUUCUUCCUUGGGGUAAUACUUCCCCCUAUUUGUACACAACGAUCCCCAAAAGUAAAGCUCCGUACCGACAAAUCUUGGCACGAACCACGUAGCCCAUAAGCUCAUCAACCAUUGUACUUCCUCUAAAGCACUCCAUACUGCCGCAACCGAAACGUCCACGUUGAAUAGACCUUCUAUAAAUCGGAAGUGGUUUCUCUAACUCCUUUGGUACUGAAGUAUAGGAUUAUUAAGGACGCAGUCAUACUGCGAGUCCCAACAUUGUCAGCUGCAAAAUCUCAAGCCUUAAACAUGUGCAAAGUUUUGGGGAACCUUUCAGUGCCACAUAUGUACAUAUCAGGCCAGAACUGAUAUAAAACAUGACCCCGCAAUAUGUUCGUCUAUAGUAGACUCCCCCACUUGGCGUGAAGCCAUAGGCCACAACGUUCGAUGAUCCACAAUACUAACCUUCACAACUUGUACUCAUCAACCAAAUGCAAGAAUCCGUUGCACCCCCACGUAAAUCAAUGAGUGAUCCUCCAAUACAUCUGCAUCUUCAGUUGGGACCACACGUUGAGACGAUAUUUGAGCAUCCCCGGCUCCCUCGUAGUCUAUCUGCGACAUCACGAACCAUCGGCGCACAACUGAUACCGAGUGCGCAAUGUCAUACGCGAGUGGAUGUGAAUGAAUAUAGAUAUAUGCUUCAAGCUAAAUCAAUAUCGCACGAUAGGGAAUAAAAGAAGUAGAAUUUUCUAAUAGUUUUUGUAGCCUCUCGAAGAUAAGUACAGACGUCUCCGGACCGAUCCGCAAGACUCUACUAAACAUGUUUGUGACUUGUAGCACCCAUGAACCUCGAGCUCUGAUAUCAACUUGUCACGACUCAAAUUUUCCUCUGUAGGAUGUCGUGAUGGCAUCUAGUCUUAAGGACUAGGUAAGCCUAACACUUACUGAAUUAGUGAUAACUCGACCAACAAUUAUUAAAUAUGAAAUAGAAAUUUUCUACAAUCCCAAAACCGGUAGUACAAGUCACAAGCUCUAUAGAGUUUACUAGAAAAAUCUCUAAAUACAAUUAUUCCAUAAUAGAAUCAACAGUGCAGGAAAAAUAUCAGAAGGUGAAUUUGAGCCUGCGAACGCGUCAGCAGUUAUACCUUAAGUCUCCACAACAAUGCCCAAUCGAUUAGCCAGAUUAUCAACAACACUGAGGUACCUGGAUCUGCACAAAAAUGUGCAGAAGAGUAGUAUGAGUAUACCACAGCGGUACCCAGUAAGUAUCAAGCCUAACUUCGGUAGAGUAGUGACGAGGCCAUGUCAAGACACCUACCGGACAUAUAAACCUGUACAAAAUACUACAUAAAGCCAACAAGGAAGGAAUAUCAAUGUAAGGCCAUUAACCGAAGAAUUUCCAAUUCAAAUCAACAAUGAGAACACGGAAUAACAACGAGAAAACAAUCAAGUAAUUACGCAACAACAUAGUCAGAGUACAAAUGACAUAUGAGUAGGUUCAAGUAAGGAAUCUUAUGACAAAUCAAUCAAUUAAAUUAUUUAUGAUGCAUGUAAUUCAACAUAAAUUACCCGAGGUAUCACUUCUCAAAAUCUCAAUUCAUGAUUCACAACUUUCAAAUUCUUAAACAGGUGGCAUUUUGUGCCCACAUCUCCCAAAUCAGUUUUUGCACGGCAAAUCCUUGUACUACCAUCUGUAUAAUUUCCGUAUCAAUAUCAACCAAGAUGACCAAUGAAUAAUUUAAACACAAUUAAAUAUAAUUUCCAAAUUAAAUGCAGUGAAAUAUCAAAUAAGUCAUUAAAUCAAUUUAAGAUUUAAAUAAGGUAAAAUAGUUGAGAGAUUGUACAAAUAGAAUAUCAAUUGAGUUUAGUUUAGAAGUAUAUGAGAUCCGAUAAAAUGUUAUAUUUAUACAAAAUAAGACAUUCAAUCAAGUUUUAACGAAAUAAGUAUGAGAUUUAUUAAAAUAAAAUGAAAUAAUAAUUUUCACGCAAUUUACACGACAAUAAGAUAAUGAGAGGGUUGAGACAUCAAUUAGAUGAAAAAUAUAGUCACCAUUUAAAUUAGUAGACCUUCGAAUAAGGUAUGAGUUUCAUUUUUGAAAGACACACAAGUGGAACAGCUUGAAAAUUCUUUCAUUUAUAUCUGCUAAAUUUUUCAGCAACUUAACGUAUCACAUAAAAUGCAUGACUCACACAAGAAGUCCAUAUUAUUCCAUUUUUAAUAUAUUGACAGAUAAAUAAAUUAUAAUCAAAUAUAGUGAGGUAAUUUAAGAAACCACAAUAAGCGUCCUAACAUGAAAUGCAUCAUGAGAAUCACAAUUGGAAUUAACCUUAAUACCACAAUAGUUUCAUAUUUGUUCAUUCGUUGCAGCGUGCAACCCGAUUCAACAAUAUAAUCUUGUAAAUAAAUUUCGUUGCGGCGUGCAACCCGAUCCAACAAUAUAAUUUUUCAAAUAAAUUUUGUUACGGCGUACAACCAGUUCCAACAAUAUAAUCUUUCAAAUAAAUUACGUUGCGGCGUGCAAUCCGCUCCAACAAUAUAAUCCUUCAAAUAAAUUNNNNNNNNNNNNNNNNNNNNNNNNNCCGUUGCGGCGUGCAACCCUCUCCAACAAUAUAAUCUUUCAAAUAUAUUCCGCUGCGGCGUGCAACCCGUUCUAACAUCAACACAAAUAAAGCAACCAAUUUACAACCAACUACGGUAUACCACAAAGUAAAAAGGAAUAAUGAGGCUACACAAAGAUGUCACAACCAAUGAAAAAGGCUACACGAUAGUUCACGAAAUAAAAUAGUAAGGAAGUGACAAUCCACAAGCCAAGGCACAAUUUAUGAGCAUCAACUGACAAUUAAGGUAUGUAUCAGGUAAAGCAUGAAUUCAACGAGUGGUUACAAUCAACAAUUGGCAUAUAAGGUGUUAUCGACAACAAAGAUGGAACAUGUGCUAACAAUUUCAAGUAAAGCACGUACAAACAACUAGAACACAAAAGAUGCAGUCAUGAAACAAUAGUUACAAUUAGUCACAUGAAGGGAGCCUAACAAACAAAAUCGGUCAAAUACCACAUAUAGGUUGUGUACCCACUUGUCACCUUGCGUACACGGCCUUCACAUAACACGAAUAACACAAUCAUCCCUAUUCCUAAGGGGUGGUUUCCCCCACACAAAGUUAGACAAGACACUUAUCUUAACGAAGUUAGGCCGAUAUUUUAAAAAAGCCUUCUAGCUUGAAUUGAUCUCCAAACAGCUCAAAUCUAUCCAAAUUAAUUGUAUAACUUUAUUAAAAUUCAUCGAAAAUAAUUUCGGAUAAUAAAAUAUCGACUUAAAAUUUCACAUUAAAAAGUCAACCAAAGUCAACGCAAGGCCCGCCUCUCGUGACCCGAUAGAAUUUUUACGAAAUUCAAACACUCAUUCCGAUACGAGUUCAACCAUACCAAUCUUACCAAAUUCCGAUAACGAAUCGACCUCCAAAUCUAAAAAUUUUAUUUUUGAAAGAUUUUGCAAAAAUCUCAAUUUCUUCCAUCAAAACUCGAAUUAAACGAUAAAUAUAACCAUAGAUUCAUGAAAUAUAAUCACAAGGGAGUCAAGAACACUUACCCCAAGUUUUGUGAUGAAAUUUGCCUCUGAAAAUCGCCCAAACCGAGUUCCCCAAGUCUAUUUUUGUCAAAAAUGGCAGAAAACCCCUGUUUAUAGAACCUCUGAAGUUUGUAUCACCACAGGUGGCGUGGGGCACUGCCUGUGGCGCCGUUUCCAUAACUUCUAAAAUCCCAGCGCCAGGGAUAGCACCCCAUGCUACCUUGGACACUGACGACGACGGAAAAUAUUUUCCGACAAGGAAAUGGGCAUAACUCUCUCAUACGAUGUCCGAAUUUGACGAUUCUUUUUGCUAUGGCUCCGAAAUUUCAAUACAAAUCUAAUGCUUCAAUCAAAAUUGAAUUUUGGAGCUCAUUUUCUUAAUUUUAUAACACUUAUUCUUGAAGAAACGACGUCAAAACAUCCUAGAAAUAUCCAACCUCUACAUUCGAUAUCGAAGCCUAUCAAAUCAAGUCCGAUUGACUUCAAAUUUUUGCACACAAGUCAUAAAAGACAUAAUGGACCUAUUCCAAUUUCCUAAAUCGAAUUUCGACCCCGAUAUCAAUAAAGUCAAUUCCCGGUCAAACUUUCUAAAAAUCUUCCAUUUUUCCAACAUUCGCCAAAAUGCGUCAAAUUAUCGUACGGACUUCCAAAUUCACAUCCGGACAUACGCCUAAGUCCGAAAUCGCCAUACGAAUCUAUUAGAAUCAUCAAAACUCUAUUCUGAAGUCAUUUGCACAAAAGUCGACUCUCCGGUCAACUCUUUUCUUUUAAGAUUCUUAAAUAAGAAUUGUUCUCCCAAUUUGAUCCCAAAUCGGCCGAAAACCAAACUCAACCAUACACGCAAGUCAUAAUAUGUAUUAUGAGGUUGCUCGAGAUCUUAAGCCGUUGAACGGGAUGCUAAUUCUCAAAACGACAAGUCGGGUCGUUACAUCCUCCACCUCUUAAACAAACGUUCAUCCUCGAACGUGCUAAGAAUUAUUAUGAGGUUAUCAAAUUGCUGAUUUCACUCUUACACAUAUACUCGCGGGUGAUGCCACAUCACCGCAACUAACAUAGGUUCGACAACACCAUCUCAAUUGAGAUUAAUUUUUCUAUCCGCACUUAUAAACCUUAAAACCAACUUUCUUACACUCCAAUUAUUUUUAAAAGGGUCCGAUUUUCAUAUCAACGCACGGUAUUAGUCUCAGGCGACUGUAACAACCCGUGCCUACGCUCGCAAGGCACAAACACAUAACAUGUCGCAACAUGCAUACGCCCAUAACCACAUCUCUAGUCAUAAUAGUUAUUCAUAACCAAUUACAGCAUCGUCGUUUAACUUCAUGUUAACAUAAAUCUCGUUUCAAACCUUCAAAUUUCGAUAACGAAUCGACCUCCAAAUCUAAAAAUUUGUUUUUGAAAGAUUUGGCAAAAAUCUCAAUUUCUUCCAUCAAAACUCGAAUUAAAUGAUAAAUAUAACCAUAGAUUCAUGAAAUAUAAUCACAAGGGAGUCAAGAACACUUACCCCAAGUUUUGUGAUGAAAUUUGCCUCUCAACAUCGCCCAAACCGAGCUCCUGAGUCUAUUUUUUUCAAAAAUGGCAGAAAACCCCCGUUUAUAGAACCUCUGAUGUUUGUAUCUCCACAGGUGGUGUGGGGCGCUGCCUGUGGCGCCGUUUCCAGAACUUCAAAAAUUCCAGUGCCAGGGAUAGCGCCCCACGCUACCCUGGACGCUAACGACAACGGAAAAUAUUUUCCGACAAGGAAAUAGGCAUAACUCUCUCAUACGAUGUCCGAAAUUGACGAUUCUUUUUGCUAUGGUUUCAAAAUUUCAAUACGGAUCUAAUGGUAUAAUAAAAACUAAAUUUGGAGCUAAUUUGCUUAAUGUUAUACCACUUAUUCUUGAAGAAACGACGUCGAAACAUCCUAGAAAUAUCCAACCUCUACAUUCGAUGUCGAAACCUAUCAAAUCAAGUCCGAUUGAUUUCAUAUUUUUACACACAAGUCAUAAAUGAUAUAAUGGACAUAUUCCAACUUUCAUAAUCGAAUUUUGACCCCGAUAUCAAUAAAGUCAAUUUCCGGUCAAACUUUCUAAAAAUCUUCCAUUUUUCUAACUUUCGCCAAAAUGCGUCAAAUUGCCCUACGAAUUUUCAAAUCCACAUCCGGACAUACGCCUAUGUCCGAAAUUACCAAACGAAGUUACUGGAACCAUCAAAACUCCAUUCCGGAGUCGUUUGCACAAAAGUCGACUCUCCGGUCAACUCUUUUCUUUUAAGCUUCUUAAAUAAGAAUGGUUCUCCAAAUUUGAUCCUGAAUCGUCCGAAAACCAAACUCAACCAUACACGCAAGUCAUAAUGCGUAUUACGAGGUUGCUUGAGAUCUUAAGCCACUGAACGAGAUGCUAAUUCUCAAAAUGACAAGUCGGCUCGUUACUGUUCCUCUUGCUCGAUGUGCUUGUUGGAGUCUCUAUUCCUGAAGUGAUUUUUGGCUUGAUCACUCAGAAACUCUCGGAGGUAUCUGUUGUUGAAUAAUCGGGCUACUUCCUCUCUCAAUUGUCGGAAGUCUUCGGUUUUGUGGCCAUGAGUGCCAUGAUAUUUACACAUUAGGUUGGGGUCCCUUUGGGCAGGAUUGGAUUUCAAUGGUCGAGGCCACUUAGUAUCUUUGAUGCGUCUGAUGGCUGAUACGAUAGCGGCAACGUCGAUGUUGAAGUUGUACUCUGAUAACCUUGGUGCUUCCUUAAACCCGAUGGGUCUGUCAAAACCGCUUUUACCCGUGAGUCCCCGGUUAUUCUAACUUCGGUUGCUCCUUCUUUCACUUCUUACAAUGUUGCGUCUGGACCCAUUGCCUUUUUGAUCUCCACUAUAUGGUUGAUACUGGUCUCUAUUCAAUCUUGGUUCACGAUCAAUGUCUCUCUUGGAUCUGUCACCAGUUUUGACGGGAUAAAUGGACCCGGAAGGGGCCCCUAGCUUAUCAUCUUCGACCCUAAUUUUUGAUUGGUACCGGUUAUGGACAUCGGCCCAAGUUAGUGUCGGGUAUUCUAUCAGAUUUUUCUUCGAGUGCAGUGAAGCCAACGAGCUUCGGGGAUUGAGUCCUUGGGUGAAGGCCUGAACGGCCCAAUCAUCUGCGACCGGAGGCAGUUCUAUCCGUUCUAUUUGAAACCUCGAUACGAACUCCUUAAGCAUCUCGUUAUCUCUUUGUUUUACCUUGAAAAGGUCCGAUUUCCUGGUCUCGACCUUGAUGGCCCAGCGUGCGCAUUUACAAAGGCGCCUGCAAGCAUAGCAAACGAGUCAAUGAAAUUAGGGGUAAGUUGUGAUACCAUAUCAUAUCUCCUUUCGACAAGGUCUCUCUAAACUUUUUCAACAUGACGGAUUCGAUUUCAUCAUCUUCCAAGUCGUUUCCUUUGAUGGAGCACGUAUAAGAGGUCGCAUGUUCGUUAGGAUCAGUUGUCCCAUUAUACUUCGGAAUUUCGGACAUACAGAACUUUUUUGGGAUCGACUUCGGAGCUGUGCUCGGAAGGAAAGGCUUUUGGACAUUUUUUUUGGAAUCCAGGCCCGUCAGUAUCGGUGGUGCUCCUGGGAUUUGGUCGGCCCUGGAGAAAUAGGUCUCUACUUUUUUGUCGUUGGCUUCGAUUUUCUUUUCUCCCGAUUUCACCUGCUUUAUCAGUUCCUCAAGCAUCUUUAUUAUCUCGGGAUUGGUCCCGAGUUCUGCUUCAUCCGGCCUUUCCGUGGCCGGUUCAUUUCUGCGGGAGCUUUCCCGGGACGAUUCGGGCUCAACUCUAUUGGGGGCUCGGCUUUGGUUUUGUAACUGUGCUAUCGCUGCAUGUUGAGCCUGUAACAUUUCGAAGAUCAUGCGCAAGUUGAUCUCGUCACCUUCGCCCUCAUGUGUAUUCCGAGCUGUUGACCAGGCUCCCCCGCUAAUGUUGUUUUCGAGGUCAGUAGGCAAGUUUGCUUCGACAACCGCAUGUGAGUUAGCAUCAAUCGGAUCAGCGACCGGGACUCCGUUGAGGUCAGCUGGGGGCACCUCGUUGCUGGGUACCAUGUUGUUAUUUUCGCCAUGGUGGCCGGAUUUAGCAUUCACGUUCAAAUGGGCAGACUGGGAGUUCGACAUUUUUAAUCUGACCUGAAAUUCAAAGCUCAAAGAACAAGUGUAAAAUAGAGUGUGUUAUGAAAAUUUGUAUCAAAUUGCCAGUAUUAUCCUUAGCCCCACGGUUGGCGCCAAACUGUUUACCCUAAAAACGGAUAACAAUUAAAUUUAUAUGCGGUUUUAAGGAUAAACGGAUUAAUUCAAUACAAACGAAAAAUUACGUUAGAUAAAACAGAUGGAGGGCGUAAUUGAUUGUCAAACCACUUAAGGGGGUGAUUUUGGACUCAAUAACAGCCUUAAUGAGAUGCAUGUCCUCUAUUCCGGACUCACAAUAACGAAGCACUGAUGAACAAGAGUAAGAACUUUGAAUAACAGAGAAAAUAAGAGUAUAUUGCCUUGAUAUGCGUGUUACAGUGUGGUCAAUGAAUAAUUAGACCCCCCUUUAUAUAGUAGAAAAGUUUUACCCUAAGUAUAAUUCCAUAAAAGGUAAAAAUCUUCUGUUUAACUAAUCACCGGUUCUCUGCCGAUACGUGCCGAGAUCCAUGCCGUGAUAUCCGGCUGGUCACGAAUAUCACGGCAUUUUGUUGGUCGUGCUCGAUUACUUGGUAGUACUCUACGAGGCCUUUGGGAUUCGAACCGAACUCGGGGUCAUGGCCCCGAUACUCCCAAGGUCGGGUGUUUUGCCCGGACCCCGACUCAAGGGGCUCCUUGUCUCGAUUCUGGUUCCUUGCCGUCACGUCUCUUGCUCUGUUUGCUUCAUCGGAAGCCGAGGCGUCUCAUGGGCUCGGUUUUACCCGUAUACAAUAAUAUAAACUCUUUAAGAGCAACUUCAUGGGGACUACUCUUAUGCUUCUAGUAGAAACGAUAUCAAAAUCAACAUUUAAGAAUGUGGCUUAAAGGUCAAAGAGGUGAAUACUUCAAAGAUCAACGUUCAAAUUCCAGCAAGGUUAAAAAUAAUUAGAUACUAUUUGGUGAUUUCAUGUCCUCUUCGAACACUACCAAUAAGAAAAGAAACAGUCUUAUGUACAUGAUUUUUAUCUAGCGGAAAAAUGUUUAAAUUACCCUUUUACUAUGCAAAAAUGAUCAUUUUUGCAUCACUUUUGCAUAGUCGGUGUCAAUAAUAUGCCAAAAGUAAAUGAUUCUAUUUGCAUAGUUGAGGAAUAUUCUUAGCCAUUUUUCCUUUUAUCUAACCUUCAUGUAUUGAAAAAUGUUAAAGGCCAUUAAUGUUGCUGGGUCCGACCUGAGAAUUGACAUAAUUCAUGCAAGGCAGUUGAAAGGGAAGCAAAACAAAGUGCCUUAUAAGACAAAAAUGUUUCUUUGGGAAGUGAAACGCCCAUAAAUGGCUGAUGCAGGAUGCAGCUCCAUAUUCCCAUACUAAAUCUGAAUCUUCACGUUAUUCUUCCGGUCCAACUUAUGGAGUUACGUUCAGCAGAAAUUUUAAUUGAACUAGAUGAGUAUUGCCCGUGCUACUAUUAGAAAUUCGACAAAAAUCGACCACAGUCGAUCGAUCAAAAAAUCGACCCACUUUGAUCGGUUUUCAAAAUAUUUUUUUUUUUUUACGAAACCGACCAACUUUUAUCGAUUUUCUUUGGCGCAAAAAUACGAUAAACUAUUUUUGAGUCCCAGCAAAAUUUAUUUUUCAAGAAACCGACCAACUUUGGUCGGUUUUUCAUUUAAAAUAAAUUAAUACUAAUAUUAAAAAAAACCGACCAAAAUCGAUCGAUUAAUUCGGCCGGUCAUUUUUAAAAACCGACCGAAUUCNNNNNNNNNNNNNNNNNNNNNNNNNNNNNNNNNNNNNNNNNNNNNNNNNNNNNNNNNNNNNNNNNNNNNNNNNNNNNNNNNNNNNNNNNNNNNNNNNNNNNNNNNNNNNNNNNNNNNNNNNNNNNNNNNNNNNNNNNNNNNNNNNNNNNNNNNNNNNNNNNNNNNNNNNNNNNNNNNNNNNNNNNNNNNNNNNNNNNNNNNNNNNNNNNNNNNNNNNNNNNNNNNNNNNNNNNNNNNNNNNNNNNNNNNNNNNNNNNNNNNNNNNNNNNNNNNNNNNNNNNNNNNNNNNNNNNNNNNNNNNNNNNNNNNNNNNNNNNNNNNNNNNNNNNNNNNNNNNNNNNNNNNNNNNNNNNNNNNNNNNNNNNNNNNNNNNNNNNNNNNNNNNNNNAGAGUAUAAAUGAAAUAAAAGACAGUCUUAAAAUAAAAUGCACCAAUGGUCUAGUAAUAGAAUAGUAUCCUACCACAGUACAGACCCCGAUUUGAUUCCCAGAUGGUGCUUUUUUUAAUUACAUAAUUAAAAUACUGACCAACUUUGGUUGGAAAAAAUCGAUCAACUUUGGUCGAUUUUUUCGGCAAUUUUUUUUUUAAAUUUAAUUGACCGACCAAAGUUGGUCGGUAAUUUCCGACCAACUUUGGUCGGUAGGCCCUUCCGAUCUUCAAAAUACCGUUCACACGUAAAUGAUCACGUUUUGGAUAAUUUUUGGCCAUUACCAACCCACUUUGAUCGAUUUUUUUUAGACGAUUUUGUCCGAAUUUUUUGUAGUGAUAAUUAUACAGAAGUCCAAUAAUUUGAGUCUAUAAUUCUGGCCGAGAGUCUAAUAAUUUAAGUUCUGAUAUAAUUUUGACUAUGUAUUCACUCACAUUUAUAUGUGAUUGCAACUAUAAAUAACAAUAAGUUAUUUAAAAUAACCAUAUCACAAACAAAAAGACAGUUCCGUUCUCAGUAAAUAGUGAGACAUGAAAAAGUCAUAUUUACCUGCCCAGGGGCCCGGCAUGUGUAGAACCGAGCAAAUAUUUUAUUUUGUUGUGCUUUUCUUUUAAAAUCAUUUACAAAACUAAAUCUAAGCAUAUGACUAAUUGUUCAUUUUCUGCCUAUCAUUAUAUACCAAAUGAUUAACCAAACGUAUUAUGUUGCUAUCAGUGCUAUACCACCUAUGAACAAUAGAAAUUAUGUAGUCGAGUUAAGAGCUAUAUAGAGUAUUGCAAGGAUUUUCAUAUUGCUGGAAACAUCCGCUACUUUAUAUUCUUCCUGAUCUCCAUCAUGAGAGCUUGCUCCUAUUAUGAGAAAAGAAUAAGAUAUUAAAUAUUCUUAAUAGAAAAUAUUUACUACUACAAGUCUCACACCAAGAAUUUGAAAUAUAUCAUGAUACAAAAAUAAGCUAGAAAGAGAGAACAUAGACACAAGCCAAGUAUCUAUGCAAAUCAAUUACUCUAGAGUACUAUAUCCAAGUGUAUGAGUCACGCUAGCAAUGUCUUUAAAAGCAAAGACGUCGUUACUACAAUCUACUUAUGCAUCAUAAAACUAAUGCAUUCUCAAAAGUAUAAGGGGUCCUCAGAUCCUUAAGAUUAAACCGGUUAACAAUUAUAAAAACAUUGAAGAAAUGUUAAUUCUUAUUUUUUUUUAAUAAGCUAAUGCUAACAACUAUAUAAAUAUGUUUAAAAUUUAAUGCAAAUGAUCUCCAGAAAUGUUUGUCUACAUUUACUUACCCUCAAACAAAAGAAAGAAGUAAGCCCAAUUACAUGAUUAGCAAUGUCUAAAAAGUUUAUUAAAAUAUACAGUUGUGACGUAGGUUCAUUGAUACAAUUUUUAUCACCACUAAAAGAAUAAAAUAUGGACUGACAUGACAUUUCUUUAUAUCAUCUCAGCAUUAUUUUAGAGUAGGUGCUUGGCAAUAAACUUAUUUUAUUUACCCGUCAAGUUAUUGUUGCUCAUGACCCAAUACAUACCUCAAUCAUCGGAGUCAUUAAUCAAAUAAAAAAAUAUCCUUCUAGAUAUAGUUAGCUCAAAAUAAUACUUAAUCUUCACCCUUCUGAUUAGAAGUUAAUCAACAUGGAAUCGGAAUGCUUGAUAAAUCAAGUAACAUCAAUAACUUUUUUGUGUUAUUCUGUCCGCAAGAGCAUCGCAUGUUUGAAACGGAUUCAGUCCAGGUAAUAUAUUUUUCUUUUUCAAAUUUUUGGUAUGUCCUUGACAUCAACAUGUGACACAUAUCCAAUUUGCAAUGAUUUAUGAACAAAGAAAAUAAAAAAGUUAUACCAUAUAACAGUUACGAAAUAACUCCACAUUAAUCAUGCUAAACCAUCCUUUCUCUGUCCCAAUUUAUGUGUUAUAUUUUUUUUUAUUCCGUCCCAAAAAGAAUGUCAUACUUCUUUAUUUAGAAAGAGUUUAACUUUAAAUUAAAGCACAAAAGCAAGCACACACAACAAAUUACGUGCAGAGAUUUAGACCUUACCGUCAUAAAGAUAAACAUAAUACGUGAAGAACAACAUAUUGUGGGAUCAAAGAAAGGGUACCAAGAUAGAUAAUUUAUAACCUUUCUGAAAGUGAUGGAGGAGGAGCGUCGAGUCUUCCAUGACCAUAGCAAGUAAAUAUUUUUCUAUCUUUUGAGUACUAACAUAUUUCAAUAAGGUAAAUUCAAAGUGGGAACAAAGCUUGAACAUUCUCUGAAAAGUCAGAAAUUGAAAAGAAGAUAGAUAAAGGAGAAAUGAUAUUAAACGAUUGUCAUUAAACUCAUUUAUAAAAUGAGUUAGAUGAAUUAUGAUGGUUAGAGAAGAUAUGUGUUUUAAGUUUAACACAAAGUUAACAUAUUUUCUAAUUCUUAUUCUGCUUCAGUAGUUAUUAAAUUUGAUAAAAUAUCAAAUGAGGACAAAGCAAUGAGGUAGAGUGAUCUUCCUAUAAUUAUUAAUCAAUAUAAAGUCUUCCCACAACACGAUAAAAUGUAUUAUGUUUUUUUGGUUUAUCUAAAUAAAUAGAGAAAAAUAGGAGAAAUGAGAAGGUGUUAUCACCACCAUUAUAACAAAAAGGAAAGAAAGAUAGACUAUAGGCUAUAUUCAAUUUUUUGAGAUAUGAUUGAAUUUUGUGGCAGAGAUAUAAAGUUCUUCUAGAUUGUUCUUUCCGAUGAAAGAAGAUGUGAUGUAAAUUGCAAGCGAUUGACUCCUCGAGAUGGAGAGACCACAAGGAUAGAAAGUUCUCUGUCAAACAGAGUAUAUUGCUUUUGAACCUACAAACUGUGUAGCCAUGAUCUAUCAAAGCUCAAGAUUCAAAAAGGGAGAAUCUAGAAGUUUAAUGUAAAGUAAUUUCUUUCAAUAAAUUCAUCAAACACUUAUUGCACAAAAAUGUUUAACCUAAAAAUGUAACAAUGUGACAGUUAUGUAAAGUUCCCUUAAAACUAACUCAAGCUUCAGGUAGCAUCACCCACAUGUCCCAUAUUAAACCCAGUUCCAACGGUAUUGUUCUUUAGAGGCAAAAAGAAAAAGCAAAAAAACCAAAUGAAAAGAAACUUAAAUCAAAUUUAACUAAAAAUUUAACCAGUCGCUUAGACCACAUAGACCACAAAUGAAAGCAGAAGUAUUAUAUUGAUAGAGUCUGCAUAUGAAGACAAAAAUUAAACAUGAGAUAUAAAGAAAAAAUAAAAUGCACAAAAAAAAAUCCAAAAUAAAUAACAACACUAACAAAGGAUAAUAACAGACAAAAAAUAAAACAAAAUAGAAGAAAGACUGAAACAGAAAAUAGCUCACACAUUAACCUGAACCUUGUAACACUCAAAGUAGAAGACCCAUAAAUAUAGAUACUUCAACCAAGAAGCUGAUAAAAUAGGAGAAAAUCCAUUGAAAAAAAGUAAUAACAGAAGAUUGAAAGAGAGAGGAGGAUGAAUUGAAAAGAAGUGGAAGAAGAUUUAAUCAAAAAUUAUGGUAAAACUCCAAGCCGAGAAGAUGAAGGGAAAGUGAGAGAGUUAAGAAAGAACAUGAAAGUGUGGACGGUUCUAGAAUAUGUGGCAUCGUAUGAAAAAUAAAAUGACAGAAUAAAAUAACAAUUCUACCCUUGAUCGACCAAGCAUGACUUUUCUAUAUAAUAGAAAUUUUCAGACAUAUUAAUAUACUACACUGGAUGUCUAUAACUUUUAAAGGAGUAAUACUCGUUAUCUUUUUCAUAAAUUACAUAAUAACUCCCGUUACUCUACUAUUUUUAUUUAUAAUUUUCACACCUCCAUAACCAUCCCAUCCCCGUGAUCUCCCCCAUGAUCCAAAUGGUUAAUACCAUGUUUAAAACAACCUUAUUGUAAGCCUCUAUAUAAUCUUAUAAAUAGCGUAUUGGAAAUCACGUAGUAUACACUUGAAAAAUACGUGAUGAAAUAAAAAAGUUCUCUCUUUCCUCUCUACAUCUCUUGCCUAUUUUCUCGUUUUAUAUUAUUACUUUAAACUUAGUUUUUUGAACACUGAAGUAUUAAAAUACUAUUUUAAGUAUUCAAAAAUAGAGAAUUUAGUUGAGAUCAAAUUUUGAGGGACAUACCAAAUAAAAGCUUGCUUCCCUAUUAAGAGUAUCUGCAAAGGCGCUAUAUUAUGUACGAGGGUACGAGCGGCACACUCAAAUAACGGUAUUGAUGGCCAAGAUUAUUAUCAUUAUUUUUGUAAUAAAUUGAUGUCUGGAUUAACUAGUUGGUAAGCACUUUAACUACUUUAUCAAAUGUUUGUUACUUUUCGCUAAAAUAUAUACAAGUAAAUCAAAAUUUGAACAUACAAAGAUAAUAGUAGUAAUAUUUUUACCUCAAAAUAUUAAACAUUAAUCACUCAUUAUUUUCAUCUCACUUUAGUUAUAUUAGAUCAAGCCUCUACGUGCACUGGCUAAGAUCUUAAUCUAUUAACCAGAUGAUUAACUUAGGGGUAAGUAUUUUUAUCUCCACUUGAAUCUCGUGGAGUUAAAUAGUGAUCGUUUGAUCAAGCCUUUACGUGCACCGGCCAAGAUUUCAAUCUAUUGACGAAAAGAUGAUUAGCUUAAAGAGUCCGUUUGGACAUAAAAAAAUUUCAUUUUUUUUCGAAAAAUUUUCACCUUUUUUUCAAAAUCAGUGUUUGGUCACAAAUUUUUUAAUUUUCACCUGAAUAUGAAUUUUAAAAUUUUUCGAAAAUUUAAAAAAUUCCAAAAAGUUUGUUAAAAAUUUAAAAACAAUUCAAAAUUAUAUUCAUGUCUGAAAAUAAUUUUAAUUUUCCAAUACUAUUUUUACUUUAAUUUUUUUUUUACUUUUUUCAGAAUUUUACAAUUCUUAUGUCAAAACGCCAUAAGCAUUUUCAUCUCCAUUUAAAUCACGUGGAGUUAAUAGUGAACUAACGUGUUAGGGAAAAAAAAAAUGAAAAGACCUUUGUUACGUUGCGUGCUAGUAACUUUUUUUUCUUCUUUUUCAUGACGUUGCGUGCUAAGUUUAUAAAUAGAAAUAGUAUUAACUUACCUACCUACCAGUCCUUCCCUUUGACUUCUAUCAAGUUUUAGCCCUUUUCUCUCUCUCUUUCACCAUCUGUACAUCUCCCUAAUCCGAAUCCUAAUAGUGCAAACUUUCAAUGGGGACCGAAAAUUCUGGAACAGUGGAGAUAACGGAGCCAUUGCUAGAGGAACCCUCCAAAAUCCCCGAUUCCAAUUUGGACGAUUCGGAAACUAUCCCUUAUUGGAAGGAUCAGAUCACGAUCAGAGGCCUAGUGGUGAGUGCAGUGCUUGGGACUCUCUUCUGUAUCAUCACUCACAAGCUCAAUCUCACUGUUGGUAUCAUUCCUUCUCUCAAUGUCGCUGCUGGUUUGCUGGGUUUUUUCUUCGUCAAAUCAUGGACCGGUUUUAUGUCCAAGCUGGGCUUUUCUGUUCAACCCUUUACUAAGCAAGAGAACACCGUUAUUCAGACCUGUGUUGUUGCUUGCUAUGGCCUCGCUUUUAGUGGUAUUGCCCUAUUCUUAUCUGAUUUUUAUUUAAUUAAUUAAACAAAGAGCAUGAGUAUUGAAAUGAAAUGGGUCUAAAUAGAGCGGAACAGAUAAAGAGGAUUCAUAUAGUCGACCACAACUAGUUUAGGGUGAGGCAUAGUUGAUUGAUUGAUUGUAUUAAACAGAAACUCUUGGGUUUUAUUAUUAUUAUUAGCUGAUGUUGCCUUCUUCUCGACGUUCUAUUUUGGAUGUUUAGUUUUCUUUUUAGGAGCAUCAAUCAAUUCUUGCAUUUGGCAUGGUGAAUUCCUAUCAUUUCAUUCGCGAGCAUAAUUUUCAGUUUUUGUUUCGCAUUUACUCCUUGAUUUGAAGGGCCAGUAACCAAGGAUUUUUGGAUGUUGUCAACGAGCCAGAGGCGGAUCCACGAUUUAAAUCUUAUGGGUUCAAUUUUAAGAUUUUUAACAUUGAACCCAUUAUAUUUUUAAAGUUAUGGGUUCAUAUCUACUAUUUUUGCAAUUUUAAUAAAUUUUUACAUACAAGUUUUUACUCCGAGUCGAAAGUUAUGGGUUCAGCUGAACCCGUAGCUAGUACGCUACAUCCGCCUCUGCAACGAGCUAGUACUAACUGUUAGAGAUCAAUCAAUCAGUCAACUAUAUCUCAAUCACAAACUAAGUGAGGUCGAUUAUAUAAUUUCUCCAUACAAUUAGUCAUAAUGUGUUGAAACCAACUUUAGAGGACAGACCUUUAAUUUUGUUAGAAGCGUAUGAGGAAACGUACAAAUUUAAAAUUCACAUCUUCCCCUUUUGCCACCACAGGAGGAGACUAGCUGUGGUGACAGAUGAAUCUUUCAUCCUGUAUAAAAUUUACAUUUACUUAUAUAUAAGGAAUUUCAGUUGACUGGAAAACGGUUUGUCUCUCUACUUAUGGAACAAAAAUGAGGAGUAUUUAUCACCCUAGAGAAAUGAUGAUGAGUUUCUGUGUAAUUUAUUGGUUACUAGGACUUCUUUCAGUUCUAUAGGAUGAUGAGGACUUAACAAUUCUCGUACUUUUAACUUUUUAAGCUUAUCAUAUGUUUGAUUCUUGUUACCUUAUAUAUUUGCAGGUGGCUUUGGGUCAUACUUGCUAGCAAUGGAUGAGAAAACAUACAAGCUUAUAGGUCCUGAUUAUCCUGGAAACCGUGCAGAGGAUGUUAAGAAUCCAGGGUUAUUAUGGAUGAUGGGCUUUAUAUUUGUUGUUAGUUUCCUUGGCCUUUUUAGUCUUGUGCCUCUCCGUAAGGUACUUUCUGAUUCCGACCAUUUUUGGUAGUAGUUCAAUAGAUUGUUAAGGUUUGCAUGGUUUGAUUAAAAUGUCUCCGCAAUUUUUUCAUGUAAAAAAUCUGUUAUUAAUUAAUGUAAGGGAUGGAGAAGACAUAAAACAAAACUUUUGUCGAAUGGGGAACCAACACCACUACAUUACGCUUGAACUGUUAUAGCAACCACCGGCCAGCAAUGUCCUUUCUAUUUAUUUACUUGUGCUAUUCUAUGAAAUGCUUCUUUUGAAAGUUUUCUGUAGCUAUAUUGUAUUAAUUGAAUAAAUUUUGGGCAUAUGCUCCACAUCCUUGUUGCUCAUAUGUUGAUUGGGAUUCAAAUAUCUAUCUGACAAAUUUAAUUCUCUUUUAAAUGUAAUUUCAGGUUAUGGUUAUGGGUUAUAAGCUCACAUACCCUAGUGGAACCGCCACUGCCAUGCUAAUAAAUAGCUUCCACACAAAUACUGGUGCUGAACUUGCAAGGCAAGAGAUUCAUUACUAUGUUCAUUUCUGUAUCUAAUUUCAUAAAGAUGCUACAUCUUUGGGCUAGCUACCUGAUUGAUGAUAGAAGUGCAGAAGGUGUCUAGUAAGAUAAGACCGGUUAAACUUAUUUAAUGCUUAAUGGUCCUUAUCAGCAAGAGAGAGUCUUGGUGAUUGGUGUACUUGAGAAUAAAGUUGUACAUGAACAUCACCAAAUAAUUAGCAUCGCCUUUUCUUCUCUGGCUUUUGGAGUCAUUCAUUUUCUUCUUCUCGGGUUCAGACGUUAAUGAAUAUAUGUUUUUUCGCAUUUAUCUUUUUUCCCCAGUCGGGUCGGGGGGGGGGGGGGGGGGGCGGGCGCUUUAACCAUUCAAUCAUUUCUAUGGUCCUAGGAGAACUUACUUCGAAACAUCUUGUGCUCUAUGAGUAUCACAAGUAUCACUUGUUGUCACAGGAAUCAAGUUGGCCGUCUAGGAAAAUAUUUGAGCAUAAGUUUCUGCUGGAGCUGUUUUAAAUGGUUUUUCAGUGGUAUUGGCGAUGCAUGUGGCUUUGACAAUUUUCCCACCCUUGGGCUGACCCUAUUCAAGAACACGUAAGUAUAUUCUUCUAAUAUCUGCAAUUCUUGUAUUCCUUGCUAUAUUUUCUUGAUCUGGAAUAGGGGCAAGGUAAAAGCUCUUUUUCUUCCUUUUUUUUCUCUAUUCAGAUUGAUUAUUUUUUAUUCUUAAGCUAAUAAUUUCCAUGGGUUAGCUGAGAAGAGAAUUAUUGUAGCUUUAUAGCCUGUUUGGCCAAGCUGGAAAAAUCAACUUAUUUUGAGAAGUGCUUUUUCUGAAAGUGCUUUUCGAAAAAGUACUUUUGGAGAAAAACAAUUUAUGUUUGGCUAAUCAAUUUAAAAAGUACUUUUGAGCAACAAUUUGUGUUUGACCAAGCUUUUCAAAAGUGCCUUUAAGUAUCAAAUUAUAAAUAUGGACAUGAAAAGAUUUAUUCAAUAGUUAAUAUUGUAUAAGUUAUUAAAUAAUCACAAAUAUUUAUUAUUAAAGACAAUAAUUAAGUUUUUUAUUUUAUUUAAGUAAAAUAUACACAUAAAAUUGAAAAGUACGUUAUUCUUUUAAGAAGAUUUAAAUAUAUAAAAAAUCAUUCAGCAAAACCCAAAAGUCAUUAUAUAUUAUUUGAUAGUUUAAACUAAGGUUAUUUUGGUAUAUACAACAUUUUGCUAAGGAUAUUUUUGGUAGGAAGAAAAUUCAAAACUGCUUCUGGGGAGAAGCUAUUUUUUUCUGCUUCUUAAAAGCUGCUUCUGCUUCUCCCGAAAAGUACUUUUUUUUUUCUCCCAAAAGCUUGGCCAAACACCUCAAGUUAGAGAAAAAUACUUUUUUGAGAAGCACUUUUGGCCCUGGAAGAAGCUUGGCUAAACAGGCUAUUAGAUUGGAAUGAGAAAGCAGCUAGAUUUAUGCUUUUGUGAACAAUUGUUCAUUUUCAAGAGGAGGAAACACUUGCAAUAGUUCUUCGAGCACAAUAUAUGUUAGGCUGCUAGAACACCCGCAUUAUUUGAAUUCUAUAGAUGCCAUGAUUUUGGUGCUACUGCUAAAUUAGAGGCUGUGAAAAUUUCUUUUUCCGUUGGCUCUUCUGUAUGAUCUCUUAUGGAUGCUUGCCCUAUUUUUUAAUGUUUACAUAUUAUGUUUAACUUUUAUUUUGUCACUAGAUAUUCUCUGUCCUUGGUUUUUGUUAUAGUAAAUUGAGGCCGAGAGAGAAACACGACCCGAAGCCUUGUAGUAUGACUAUGAAUUCAUUUUCCCUGUUUUCUCCCUCUUCCCCUACCUGCUGGAACUAAAACUAUGACCUUCUUGUUAAAGAAUGGAUUCGCUAUUGAUGUUUUGGCUCUUACACAGUCGUCAUCCUGCAGGUUCUAUUUUGAUUUUAGUCCAACUUAUGUUGGAUGUGGACUUAUCUGUCCUCACAUAGUCAACUGUUCAGUUCUCUUUGGAGCUAUUAUAUCAUGGGGUGUACUGUGGCCAUUGAUCUCCCAACGUGCUGGUGACUGGUACCCAGCAGACCUUGGAAGCAAUGAUUUCAAAGGUCUCUAUGGAUAUAAGGUGUGUACUUACUGAUAACUAAUUCUAGCUGAUGCACAUCCGAAACACGAUAACUCUGUAAUGCUGUCUUAGUGGGCGUUUGGACAUAAGAAUUGUAAAAUUACAUAAAAAAGUGAAAAAACAAUUCAAGCGAAAAUGGUAUUUGAAAAUUAGAGUUGUAUUUGGACAUGAAUAUAAUUUUGGGUUGUUUUUGAAGUUUUGUGAGUGAUCUUAGUGAAAAUUUUGAAAAACAGUUUUUUGGAGUUUUUCAAAUUUUCGAAAAAUUCCAAAAUGCAUCUUCAAGUCUUGGGCCUGAUUUGUGCAUAACUCAACUGAAAAUGGCAUUAAUCCAAACCUUUAAACCCUAAAAAUUUUAUGACCAAACGCUGAUUUCGAAAAAAAGUGAAAAUUUUUCGAAAAAAAUUGAAAAAAUUCUUAUGUCCAAACGGGCUCUUAAUGUGCAACUCUAAGAGUAAUGUACUUCAAGAAAGAUUGUAUAAACUUUCUCAAGCUAUUCCUGUACUUCAUUUUGGCAGAAAAUGAGGUAAGACAAGGAAGGAAUGAAAAAGAGAAAGAUAAGAGGAAAUUUAUGUUAGUGGAUUCCUUGCCUAUGGUUCUUGUCAGCGUAGAGUAUAAGGAUUUGUAGUCGACUAUAUAGCAAUGAGAGAUAUUUUCAAAUGUUAGGGUACUUCUAAUUUGCCAAAAUACUUCUCAAGCAUAGAAUCUGCAAUUUCAUUGCAGGAUUUGAAUGCAUAACAUUCAAUUUCUUCAAUUCCAGCUUGAUAGCUGUAUUUUCAUAAAGUCUGCUUUAUCUUUCUGGUCUCAAUGCUUUUGUGCGACGACUGGCCAUUGGUCCUAUGUAGGCUUGCUCUGUCUAUGACAUAAGAUUGUUGGUAGAGUUAGAAAUUGUGAUACUCAAGAAGUCAGUUGACAUUGUAGUUGGGAAUUUUGGUGGAAUGCCCACUGACAGGGGUGCCUCCCCCUCGGUUGCGGGGUGCUGGAUCCAGGAUGUAUCUGCUUGCCUACUCCGAAGCUGUAGGCUAGAAGCAAUUACAACACCCUUGACAUGUAACAUCACUGAAGAUAUGCACUUCUUAAAUCAUAAAAGUAAAGAAAUUGCUGUAUCUUUAUUUUUCUGGAAAAUUCUACAUGUAGGACGAUAGUGCACUGUCAACAGAAGAUUGCCGUUCAGUAAUCAGCAAUUUACAAGCUCCUUUUCCCCAACUUAAGAGUCCAAAGUCCUCAUUAGAAGCAUGUUUUUUAUAUGCUUCCCGCGUUUUACUAAAAGCUCUCUAGGUGUGAGACAGCUAAGAUAUGAGCAUUGUCCUCAUAUGUCACCUCUUAAUGGUGAAAUGGACCUGGAAGAAAUGAGAAUCUUCAGCUUAUCUUUUUUCCGCUAGAGAUUUGUUAUUUUACUGUUGCAGCCCUAGAGAUUUAUUGACCUCAUUUAUCAUGUUGUCUUCUAGCAAAUCAUUUUAAGGCGCAUUCAUAGUAUCACAAGUACGCUUAUUCUAUUAUUCUUUCCCCUAGAGAACUGGCCGUAUACUUCCUUUGAUGUACUUAAAAUCUUCCCAUAUACUUCUGUUGGUGUUAUUAUAAUCUUCAUUUUCUUUCCUUCGUUUGCAGGUAUUCAUAGCCAUCUCCCUCAUACUUGGAGAUGGGCUUUACAAUUUAGUUAAGAUAGUUGCAAUCACCAUAAGGGAAAUUUUUAAAAGUAGCAGCACACAGAAGGAUCUUCCCUUGGUCAUGGAAGUCAUUGGUAGGCCUUAAUUGACCAAGUAUUUGGUAUUUAAUUACUGAGAACAACAUUACCUAUUUGACUGCAGUAUAGUGAUAAAAUUACAAAUUGCUACAUCAAAACUCCAAAUUGAUAAACAAAUGGUUCACUCGUAAUGAUGAGAAAACAAGCUGCUGGGAUCUGAAAAGAUUUAAGCUUCUUCUUUCUGCUUGGUUAUUAUGUCAAUGCAAUUGAGGAACAGUGAUCAAGCAGAGGAAAAGGUUGAUGUCAGCUUUUGCACUGACUUAUUCCCAUUUCUGUAAUUGCUUUGUGAACCAAUUAAUCAAUUUUGAAAGCCUCUGUUACUGCACUAUUAGAAGGGCGAACACUUUUUUUUGUUCGCUCUAAAAUGAACUUGAGAGGUUACUACUUUAUGGGGUAUGUAAUGUUUCUUGAUUUUGUCUAUUCAUAUUCUUACAGGUGGUGAGAGUUCCAUACUAGAAUUGGAAAGGAAGAAGCGCAACGAAGUUUUUCUGAAAGAUAGGAUACCGUUUUGGUUUGCUGCAUCUGGAUACGUUGCCCUGGCGGCAAUAUCUACAGCCGCAAUGCCAAUGAUAUUUCCUCCUCUGAAGUGGUAUUUGGUCCUUUGCUCAUACGUUAUUGCCCCUGCCCUUGCCUUCUGCAACUCCUACGGCACAGGACUUACAGACUGGAGCUUGGCUUCAACUUAUGGUAAAAUUGGUCUUUUUAUGAUUGCGUCACUGGUAGGAAGCAAUGGUGGGGUCGUAGCAGGAUUGGCAGCAUGUGGAGUUAUGAUGUCCAUAGUCUCCACAGCUGCUGACUUAAUGCAAGACUUCAAGACGGGGUAUCUUACACUAUCAUCAGCUAAAUCAAUGUUUGUGAGUCAGUUGGUGGGAACAGCAAUGGGUUGCAUUAUUGCGCCCCUCACAUUCUGGAUGUAUUGGAAUGCUUUUGACAUUGGGUCUCCUGAUAGUCCAUACAAAGCACCAUAUGCUGUCAUUUACCGAGAGAUGGCCAUUCUGGGGAUUGAGGGAUUCUCCGAACUUCCAAAGCAUUGCCUUGCAUUGUGUUGUGGGUUUUUUGUGGCAGCUCUGGCCAUAAACCUCUUGAGGGAUGUUACGCCAGCAAAAUUCUCCCAAUUCAUCCCUAUUCCAAUGGCGAUGGCUGUUCCAUUCUAUAUUGGGGCCUACUUUGCAAUUGACAUGUUUGUUGGCACAGUGAUAUUAUUUGUAUGGGAGAGGAUAAAUAAGAAGGAUGCAGAAGAUUUUGCUGGUGCUGUUGCCUCUGGUUUGAUAUGUGGCGAUGGGAUUUGGACCAUACCAUCAGCUAUCCUCUCUAUCUUCAGGAUUAACCCACCAAUCUGCAUGUACUUUGGGCCUUCUGUGAGCACCUGAACAAGUGUAUGCCUUGUAGCAUUUGCAAUUCUUUCUUUAGUCUUAUCAGAAAAACCUCUCGGAUUGUAAAUAUUCUGUUUAAGUAUUUCUCCAAUCAUUUGUACCUGUAAAUGUGCACCAGAUGUUAUAAACUUGGUAGUGUCAUACAUGAAAAUGAAUUACCACUUCAUUAGGUAUU
rnacentral:lncRNA from 1 species